UGGAAGACACCAGGCUAGGAUUAGUAACAAGAAUUUAUAAUUCUCCAAAAUGCAAAUAUAAACCAACAUGGAUAGACCAUUGGUAGUUACCGAACCUAAAUUCAAUGCAAUAACAUCCACAAGAAAACUCUGCAGUACUCACUCGUUAACCUAACACCAGCGCAUUACAGGAAAGAUUUAAAAAAAGAGAAGGAAUUCGGCAAAUGACGGCCCCGCCUGUUUACCAAAAACAUCGCCUCUUGACUUAUAAUAAGAGGUCCAGCCUGCCCAGUGAAUUUUAAACGGCCGCGGUAUCCUAACCGCGCGAAGGUAGCAUAAUCACUUGUUCUUUAAAUGGGGACUUGUAUCAACGGCAUCACGAGGGUUUUACUGUCUCCUCUUUUUGAUCAGUGAAAUUGAUCUUCCCGUGAAGAAGCGGGAAUAUUUUUAUAAGACGAGAAGACCCCAUGGAGCUUUAAACCAAAUAACAACUUAACCACUUAUCCCAUAAUAAAUUUAAGCCCUGUUAUAAGGUUUUUGGUUGGGGUGACCGCGGAGUAAAGCACAUCCUCCACGACGGAAAGAACAGAAUCUUUAUUUAAGAACCACACUUCUAGAAAUUAGUAUACUAACGUUUACUGACCCGACAAUCGAUCAACGGACCAAGUUACCCUGGGGAUAACAGCGCAAUCUACUUCAAGAGCUCAUAUCGACAAGUAGGCUUACGACCUCGAUGUUGGAUCAGGGUAUCCCGGUGGUGCAGCCGCUACCGAAAGUUCGUUUGUUCAACGAUUAAAACCCUACGUGA
rnacentral:rRNA from 1 species